rnacentral:rRNA from 1 species
CCCAAUCCUGACACAGGGAGGUAGUGACAAUAAAUAACAAUACUGGACUUUUUCAAGCCUAGUAAUUGGAAUGAGAACAAUUUAAAUCCCUUAUCGAGUAUCAAUUGGAGGGCAAGUCUGGUGCCAGCAGCCGCGGUAAUUCCAGCUCCAAUAGCGUAUAUUAAAGUUGUUGCAGUUAAAAAGCUCGUAGUUGGAGUUCAGAUUGAGCUCGGCCGGUCGGCCUAAUUGGUCAGAACUGGUUGACUCUGUCUUGUUUGUGGAUCCCUCCGGAGUUAACUCUUCGGAUGUGGAGUCCACAUCGUUUACCUUGAAAAAAUUAGAGUGUUCAAAGCAGGCGUUUGCUUGAAUAUAUUAGCAUGGAAUAAUGGAAUAGGACGCUGGUUCUAUUUUGUUGGUUUUGAGAACCAGAGUAAUGAUUAAUAGGGACAGUUGGGGGCAUUCAUAUUUCAUUGUCAGAGGUGAAAUUCUUGGAUUUAUGAAAGAUGAACUUCUGCGAAAGCAUUUGCCAAGGAUGUUUUCAUUAAUCAAGAACGAAAGUUAGGGGAUCGAAGACGAUCAGAUACCGUCGUAGUCUUAACCAUAAACUAUGCCGACUAGGGAUUGGACGUGGUUUGUUCAUUGACCCGUUCAGCACCUUACGAGAAAUCAAAGUCUUUGGGUUCCGGGGGGAGUAUGGUCGCAAGGCUGAAACUUAAAGGAAUUGACGGAGGGGCACCACCAGGAGUGGAGCCUGCGGCUUAAUUUGACUCAACACGGGAAAACUUACCAGGUCCAGACAUAGUAAGGAUUGACAGAUUGAGA